AUUGAACGCUGGCGGCAUGCCUUACACAUGCAAGUCGAACGGUAACGGGUCCUUCGGGAUGCCGACGAGUGGCGAACGGGCGAGUAAUAUAUCGGAACGUGCCCAGUAGUGGGGGAUAACUGCUCGAAAGAGCAGCUAAUACCGCAUACGACCUGAGGGUAAAAGGGGGGGAUCGCAAGACCUCUCGCUAUUGGAGCGGCCGAUAUCAGAUUAGCUAGUUGGUGGGGUAAAGGCCUACCAAGGCAACGAUCUGUAGUUGGUCUGAGAGGACGACCAGCCACACUGGGACUGAGACACGGCCCAGACUCCUACGGGAGGCAGCAGUGGGGAAUUUUGGACAAUGGGCGCAAGCCUGAUCCAGCAAUGCCGCGUGCAGGAAGAAGGCCUUCGGGUUGUAAACUGCUUUUGUCAGGGAAGAAAUCUUCUGGGCUAAUACCCCGGGAGGAUGACGGUACCUGAAGAAUAAGCACCGGCUAACUACGUGCCAGCAGCCGCGGUAA
rnacentral:rRNA from 1 species